ACGGGUGAGUAACACGUAGGCAACCUGCCCUCAAGUUUGGGACAACUACCGGAAACGGUAGCUAAUACCGAAUAAUUGUUUUCUUCGCCUGAAGGAAACUGGAAAGACGGAGCAAUCUGUCACUUGGGGAUGGGCCUGCGGCGCAUUAGCUAGUUGGUGGGGUAACGGCUCACCAAGGCGACGAUGCGUAGCCGACCUGAGAGGGUGAUCGGCCACACUGGGACUGAGACACGGCCCAGACUCCUACGGGAGGCAGCAGUAGGGAAUCUUCCGCAAUGGGCGAAAGCCUGACGGAGCAAUGCCGCGUGAGUGAUGAAGGUUUUCGGAUCGUAAAGCUCUGUUGCCAGGGAAGAACGCUUGGGAGAGUAACUGCUCUCAAGGUGACGGUACCUGAGAAGAAAGCCCCGGCUAACUACGUGCCAGCAGCCGCGGUAAUACGUAGGGGGCAAGCGUUGUCCGGAAUUAUUGGGCGUAAAGCGCGCGCAGGCGGUCAUUUAAGUCUGGUGUUUAAUCCCGGGGCUCAACCCCGGAUCGCACUGGAAACUGGGUGACUUGAGUGCAGAAGAGGAGAGUGAAAUUC
rnacentral:rRNA from 1 species